rnacentral:rRNA from 1 species
UACAGAGGGUGCGAGCGUUAAUCGGAAUUACUGGGCGUAAAGCGUGCGUAGACGGUUAUUUAAGUCGGAUGUGAAAGCCCCGGGCUCAACCUGGGAAUUGCAUUCGAGACUGAAUAGCUAGGGUGCGGUAGAGGGAAGCGGAAUUUCCGGUGUAGCGGUGAAAUGCGUAGAUAUCGGAAGGAACAUCAGUGGCGAAGGCGCCGCUCUGGGCCGUGACUGACGCUGAGGAGCGAAAGCGUGGGUAGCAAACGGG